rnacentral:snRNA from 1 species
CAGCUCUGGGUUUUCUUCAGCUCACGCACAUAUCUUUCGCCUUUUACUAAAGAUAUCCGUGGAGAAGACCAUCUUGAUGAGUCUCAUCUAGAUUUUUUUGAUAGUCCCGCUUCGGUGGGCAC